GCCACUGUACUCGGCCUGUCAAC
rnacentral:siRNA from 1 species